UACAGACGGUCCAAACGUUAUUCGGAAUCACUGGGCUUAAAGAGUUCGUAGGCGGUCCAGAAAGUGGGGUGUGAAAGCCCUCGGCUCAACCGAGGAAUUGCGCUCCAAACUACUGGACUUGAGGAGGCUAGAGGUAAGCGGAACUGAUGGUGGAGCGGUGAAAUGCGUUGAUAUCAUCAGGAACACCGGAGGCGAAGGCGGCUUACUGGGGCCUAUCUGACGCUGAGGAACGAAAGCCAGGGGAGCGAACGGG
rnacentral:rRNA from 1 species